AUAAGCCGACUUAAUAGCUUCAUUCUUCAUUUCCAAUCCAUGAGUGCACUCCGUCGUCAUUUCAAACCCUAACACAAAACCGCUGCUCUCUAGCCAUUCCAAAAUCUUCCAAUGGUCUUGGAUUUGUCGAACUCAAAAACAAAUACCAACCGUGCCUCCAUAGCUGGAUUUCUAUCAUUUAUUCCCAAAUCUCCGUUAUGCUGCAAAUCGAAGCUCCAAUCCGUCGAAUCAAUGUCCCAGUGCACACCAAGGUAAAUAUCUCUUUUUUUCUUACAGAUUUCAUGACCAGAAGUUGCAUGAACUCCUUUCUGAACUUGAUGCAUGGGCUCAUUGAUAUGACGAAAUUCUCUAAUCUGAUACUUGUGUGUGCUGUGCCUGCAAGUUCAACCCACAAGUGAUGCAGAGACCCAAAAAUUCGUAGAUCCUCAUGCCCUCGAAAAAUGUAGCAUGCCGGAUAGACCUGCCCAGAGUUGCUUUAAAUUUGAUGGGCUAUGUAUGUGCAAUGUCAUGUGAAUUUCCAGAUUCUGAUUUGUUAUGAACAACCCCUUGCAACACGUCAGUUAUGAUGAAUUCCGGCAGCUUGGUUGGUUUCUUUGCAGCCUCUUGAUUCGGCCAAAGCAAACAUUGUGGGAAAAUUUCGUGUGGCAUAUAAGCAUGGGUAGCAAAUGAUUCCGUGGGAAUUUCAAGAUCAGCAUGUGCUUUUUCCUCCAUUGGGCACGAGUAACUGGCAGAUUGCUCCUCGGUACCUGUACCAAUCUCCUCUUGAUCAUUAAAGCUCUUCCUACAGUUUAAUGCUUGAAUAAAAAAAUCCUUGCUUGGUUAUUUCAAUGUACAACUCAGUUGAUUCCAACAAUUUAGAGAGCUUGUCCUUUACCGGAAGCUCCUGUGGCACAUUAAACUACUCAAAAUAGUGCUCAAGUUGCCUUUGCAAGCUUAGGGUGUAGAACUCUGAAUAUGGAUUGCUCCAAUUUCUUUUUGAGUUGUUUCUCAUAUUGGUAUGCUCUUGGACAUAAUCUGGAAAAUAUUCCUUCUGAGGACAUUGCAAAAUAUCAUGGGUCUUCAAACAA